rnacentral:rRNA from 1 species
GUGGGGAAUAUUGGACAAUGGGCGAAAGCCUGAUCCAGCCAUGCCGCGUGUGUGAAGAAGGUCUUCGGAUUGUAAAGCACUUUAAGUUGGGAGGAAGGGCAUUAACCUAAUACGUUAGUGUUUUGACGUUACCGACAGAAUAAGCACCGGCUAACUUCGUGCCAGCAGCCGCGGUAAUACGAAGGGUGCAAGCGUUAAUCGGAAUUACUGGGCGUAAAGCGCGCGUAGGUGGUUCGUUAAGUUGGAUGUGAAAGCCCCGGGCUCAACCUGGGAACUGCAUCCAAAACUGGCGAGCUAGAGUACGGUAGAGGGUGGUGGAAUUUCCUGUGUAGCGGUGAAAUGCGUAGAUAUAGGAAGGAACACCAGUGGCGAAGGCGACCACCUGGACUGAUACUGAGACUGAGGUGCGAAAGCGUGGGGAGCAAACAGGAUUAGAAACCCGGGUAGUCC